rnacentral:tRNA from 1 species
UCCCUGGUGGCUCAGAUGGUAAAGCGUUUGCCUACAAUGCAGGAGACCUGGGUUUGAUCCCUGGUCGGGAAG